UGGGGAAUUUUGCACAAUGGGGGCAACCCUGAUGCAGCGACGCCGCGUGAUUUAAAAGGCCUUCGGGUUGUAAAAAUCUUUUGUAUAGGAAGAAAAUGACAGUACUAUACGAAUAAGGUCCGGCUAAUUACGUGCCAGCAGCCGCGGUAAUACGUAAGGACCGAGCGUUGUCCGGAAUCAUUGGGCGUAAAGGGUACGUAGGCGGUUAAAAAAGUUAGAAGUGAAAGGCUAUAGCUCAACUAUAGUAAGCUUUUAAAACUGUUUAACUUGAGAGAUGGAAGGGAAAGUGGAAUUCCUAGUGUAGCGGUGAAAUGCGCAGAUAUUAGGAGGAAUACCGGUGGCGAAGGCGACUUUCUGGCCAUUAUCUGACGCUGAGGUACGAAAGCGUGGGUAGCAAACAGG
rnacentral:rRNA from 1 species